CGGACGGGUGAGUAACGCGUGAGCAAUCUGCCGAAAAGUGGGGAAUAGCUCGCCGAAAGGCGGAUUAAUACCGCAUAUGAUUAGCAAAAGCAUUUUUGCGACAUCAAAGCUGGGGAAACUUGGCGCUUUUCGAUGAGCCCGCGGCCUAUCAGCUAGUUGGCGAGGUAAUGGCUCACCAAGGCGAUGACGGGUAGCUGGUCUGAGAGGACGACCAGCCACACUGGAACUGAGACACGGUCCAGACACCUACGGGUGGCAGCAGUCGAGAAUUUUUCUCAAUGGGGGAAACCCUGAAGGAGCGACGCCGCGUGGAGGAUGAAGGUCUUCGGAUUGUAAACUCCUGUCAUCAGAGAACAAGGGGCGCAUUAACCGUGCGUCUUGAUAGUAUUUGAAGAGGAAGAGACGGCUAACUCUGUGCCAGCAGCCGCGGUAAUACAGAGGUCUCAAGCGUUGUUCGGAUUUAUUGGGCGUAAAGGGUGCGUAGGCGGCGGGGUAAGUGAGGUGUGAAAUCCCGGAGCUCAACUCUGGAACUGCACUUUAUACUGCUCUGCUAGAGUCUUGGAGAGGAGACUGGAAUUUACGGUGUAGCAGUGAAAUGCGUAGAUAUCGUAAGGAAGACCAGUGGCGAAGGCGAGUCUCUGGACAAAGACUGACGCUGAGGCACGAAGGCCAGGGGAGCAAAUGGGAUUAGAUACCCCAGUAGUC
rnacentral:rRNA from 1 species